rnacentral:rRNA from 1 species
CCCUUAGAUGUUCUGGGCCGCACGCGCGCUACACUGAUUCAUGCACUAAGUAUAUAACCCUGGUAGAAAUGCUUGGGUAAUCUUUGAAACUGAAUCGUGCUGGGGAUUGGAGCUUGUAAUUAUUCUCCAUGAACGAGGAAUUCCUAGUAAACGCGAGUCAUCAGCUCGCAUUGAUUACGUCCCUGCCCUUUGUACACACCGCCCGUCGCACCUACCGAUUGAAUGGUCCGGUGAAAUCUUCGGACCGGGCGAUAGUCAGCAAUGACCGUUGCCUGGAAAGUUGCUUAAACCUUACCAUUUAGAGGAAGGUGAAGUCGUAACA